GGAAUUUUGGACAAUGGGCGCAAGCCUGAUCCAGCCAUGCCGCGUGUGUGAAGAAGGCCUUCGGGUUGUAAAGCACUUUCGGACGGAACGAAAUCGCGCGGGUGAACAAUCCGCGUGGAUGACGGUACCGUACGAAGAAGCACCCGCUAACUACGUGACAGCAGCCGCGGUAAUACGAAGGGUGCAAGCGUUAAUCGGAAUUACGGGGCGUAAAGGUUGCGCAGGCGGCCCCGCAUGUCAGGCGUGAAAUCCCCGGGCUUAACUUGGGAAUGGCGCUUGAAACUACGGGGCUGGAGUGUGGCAGAGGGAGGUGGAAUUCCACGUGUAGCGGUGAAAUGCGUAGAGAUGUGGAGGAACACCGAUGGCGAAGGCAGCCUCCUGGGCCAACACUGACGCUCAUGCACGAAAGCGUGGGGAGCAAAC
rnacentral:rRNA from 1 species